UUUCUUUCACACAAACAUAUUUGGUGCUCUUUAUUGUUUUAUACAACUUCUUUCACUUUCCUACUGAAUGUUGAUUACUCAAUUGGCUGAAAGCCAAGAUUGAGUAACCCUUGUCACUUUUACCACUCUGCUGGCCUCUGCUGUGUUGCUUGUUUUGGUCUACCUGCUGCUUACUUCUUUGCAUACUGCCGCCAUGCUCUCUGCUCCUGUAUGCACACUAUUGCUCACUUCUCUGCAUAUUAUUGCUCACUAUUGCUCUGUGUCACAUUAUUUUCAACUAGUAUGUAUCAUAUUUAAGUUACAGUCUCAAAACAAUAUGCUUCUAUUGGUGCUGCACUUUCUUUUGUUCCUUGUGUGCUUCCACUUAUGGUUAUGUUGUUCCUAUUGUAACUAGUAUAUAUCUGUGCUAAUUAGUAGGCCUAUAUUAACAUGGCAUGUUCAUUACCCCCUUUCCUAUCCCAAUGCAUGUUUCCCCUUGCUUCUGUAUACUACUAGCAUGUGUUCAGAUCCUCUUGGCUACUCCAUAGCCCCAAAAACCUCUUCCUAAGGAUGAUUUGGUUUGGUGUCUGGUGCUAUUAGAACUGGACUCUUAGUUUGAAGCAUGAAAUCUUCUCUAAUGUGUUAUACAUGUGUGAUUGGUUCUCUUGCUUGUGAGCUAUUUGUUCCCCUUACCUUUGCCAUUGUUUGUGUGACUGUUGCUUUCAAAACUGGCCCAUAUUAACUAUUUUCAAACUCAAUUGAUUUCUUCACUCCUCUACUGUUUUCUCGAGCUGUCCUUCAUGUAAAAAAAACUUUUCCAACUCAACUCCUUUAAAUUCCAUCACAAUCACACUACUCUUAGAAUUUAGGUUUUGCCCCCUUAAUGUAAGCAUUGCUUUGGGUAUCUUGAAUACUCACUGAACUUUGAUGCACUAGGUUGGAAAUUCCACACUUG
rnacentral:lncRNA from 1 species